AUCAUAAUUUAAGUAGAAUAAACUACUGGAUCCAAAGAAACAUUAAGUCACAGCUAUUCUUUUUGGUCCCAAAUUCACAAGUAUGGAAAUAGAAACUACAAAGAAUCAAAACUGUAAGGAAAAAUAAUUCAGCUAAUUUUCAAAACAGUCACAGAAUCGUCAUACUAACAUGUAGGACUAAAUAACCAAUGGCAUGGAGUUUACAUCAUGUUCAUCAUGAGAAACUCAACAACAAGGCAGCAAAUAAGUGAUGAGACACGGCAGUCCAAUUUUGUCUCAAAAGAAGGACUCUGACUCUCUAACUAUCCAGGUAGGUGACAAAAAGUGAUAAUUCACACACAUUCAAUUCACAUUCUGGUGCUUAUAUUUUUUCAAAUGUUCCAUGCAAAAUACCACUCACUGCAUGCAAACAGAGAAAAAAGAAAACCCACAAAGCACAAGUAAAAAUUGCAUAAGCAUGACUUAAAGACAUUUUACUAUCUAUGAAGCUAUAAACAACCCCACCUGAAAAUUAAAAACUUAUCACAGAUGCAUCACUAUGUAAAAUAUGAAAAUGAAAACAUGUAAAAAUACAAGGGGAAUGCAGAAUCCAGAAGGUUUAAAACACAGAUUGCUAUUUUUCGGUAAAGAAAGGGAGAUAAUGUCAUGUUCUCCCAAACUACAGUGACUUCCCUGGUGAAAUGUAAAUAGGUAAUCCUUUCUGUAGGAAAAUAGUGAAGAUGUAUCAAAAUCUUAAAAACAUGAACACUGUAUGAAUGAGAUCUUGUGGGAAAUAAUUUGAAAAUUUUACAAAAGUGCAUUGUUUCUGUAUCUGAAAAAAAUCAACAUGUCUAAUAAAAGAUUACUUAAAUGAACUAAUGGAUCACACAGUAAAAUUAAAACUAUCAAGAUUUGAAUUGGAUAAGGAAUAGUCUUCCUGAUCUAUCACCUACUGACAAAAGUCAGUUACAAAAUAGCAGGCGUAGGAUGAACCCAUUAUUUCAAAGCAUCAAUAGUAUUUUCUCUGGUUGAUGUGAUUAAAUGAGUUAUAAAACUUCUUCCAUCUUUUGAUUUCUUAUUCAUUCCUUCUAUAUUAAAGCAUGCUGCUUGCAUAUGAAAAAUUAAUAAAUAUGAUAAAAGGAAAAUGAGCAGUUUUAAACUUGAUCUACAUGAUUUGGAUGGCCCCAAGAUUUACAAAAUUGUCUCUGAUUUUUAAAAAAUUAUCAAAGUCAAAAUACCAAAACACUCAAGAUACAUUUUAAUGUGAACUUCUGUACUAAAAUAACCUCCCCAAAACUUGUCAGAUAAAUAGUAAUUCUUUAUAUACUACAUAGGAGGAGAGUGACCAUCACAAACAGAACAAGACUGAAAAAUUAGAAGACCUGCAUUAAGUGUCAUCCGUCUGUCUCUAAGUAGUUGUUGGAUCCUAGGGAAAUAAUUCUCUGGGCCUCAGUUUUCCCACCUGUAUAAGUCCCUUCAGUUCUAAUUCUAAAAUUAUUCUAUGUAACAUGGAGAUGAGCAAGAAACUAGUAUUUGUUGGAUGCCUGAUAACAUACUAGACACACUGCUGGGCACUCUGACAUAGGUCAUCUCAUUUGAAAACCAAGACGUUGAGGAUUAUCUUCAGUCCACAAGCCAAAGACAGAAACAGAACUGGUGUCAAAUCAUGAAACCACCAUCACAAAGAAAGUACAGAACUAAGGCCAGAAUAGGAGUCUUUCAGCUUCAGAGUCCAAGUCAUUUUGACUAUAUUGUUUUGCAGAAGGUGGUGGAGUCUAUGGCCCUUCUGCUUGAAUCUUGAGUGAAAUCUGUGACUCUUUCAAUCCAAAGACUACAGUAAUACCACAACUAUCUACAGAGGACUGGUUCCAGGACUCCCAUGGAUACCAAAAUCCAAGGAUGCUUCGAGUCCCUUACAUAAAAUGGCACAGUAUUCGCCUAUAACCUACAUGCAUCUUCAAAUAUGUUAAACCAUCUCUAGCCUACUUAAUAGUACCAAAUACAAUGUAAAUGCUACAUAAACAGUUGUUAUAAUGUAUUGCCAAAGACAAGCUCUCCUUGCCAAUCCCUGACCAAACAAGAGAUUCAUGAGCAAAAUAAAUCAUUGCUAAUAUUUAAG